CGCGGGGUGGAGCAGUCUGGUAGCUCGUCGGGCUCAUAACCCGAAGGUCGUAGGUUCAAAUCCAGCCCCCGCAACCA
rnacentral:tRNA from 1 species